rnacentral:rRNA from 1 species
UGCGUAGGCGGGCUAAUAAGUCAGUGGUGAAAUCUCUCGGCUCAACCGGGAAACUGCCAUUGAUACUGUUAGUCUUGAGUUCGGUUGAGGUAGGCGGAAUGUGUAAUGUAGCGGUGAAAUGCUUAGAUAUUACACAGAACACCAAUCGCGUAGGCAGCUUACUAGACCGACACUGACGCUGAGGCACGAAAGCGUGGGGAGCGAACAGGAUUAGAUACCCUGGUAGUCC